AGACCCGAAACCCGGUGAUCUAGCCAUGGGCAGGUUGAAGGUUGGGUAACACUAACUGGAGGACCGAACCGACUAAUGUUGAAAAAUUAGCGGAUGACCUGUGGCUGGGGGUGAAAGGCCAAUCAAACCGGGAGAUAGCUGGUUCUCCCCGAAAGCUAUUUAGGUAGCGCCUCGUGAAUUCAUCUCCGGGGGUAGAGCACUGUUUCGGCUAGGGGGCCAUCCCGGCUUACCAACCCGAUGCAAACUGCGAAUACCGGAGAAUGUUAUCACGGGAGACACACGGCGGGUGCUAACGUCCGUCGUGAAGAGGGAAACAACCCAGACCGCCAGCUAAGGUCCCAAAGUCAUGGUUAAGUGGGAAACGAUGUGGGAAGGCCCAGACAGCCAGGAUGUUGGCUUAGAAGCAGCCAUCAUUUAAAGAAAGCGUAAUAGCUCACUGGUCGAGUCGGCCUGCGCGGAAGAUGUAACGGGGCUAAACCAUGCACCGAAGCUGCGGCAGCGAACGUAUCACCCAAGACAACUUUACGGAGUUGACGAUUGACGGAGCGAAGCGACGUCAAAGCGUUCAUUAAAGUCGAGUUGGCUUAGGGAUACGUUCGUUGGGUAGGGGAGCGUUCUGUAAGCCUGUGAAGGUGUGUCGUGAGGCAUGCUGGAGGUAUCAGAAGUGCGAAUGCUGACAUAAGUAACGAUAAAGCGGGUGAAAAGCCCGCUCGCCGGAAGACCAAGGGUUCCUGUCCAACGUUAAUCGGGGCAGGGUGAGUCGACCCCUAAGGCGAGGCCGAAAGGCGUAGUCGAUGGGAAACGGGUUAAUAUUCCCGUACUUGGUGUUACUGCGAAGGGGGGACGGAGAAGGCUAUGUUGGCCGGGCGACGGUUGUCCCGGUUUAAGCGUGUAGGUGUGUGUUCCAGGUAAAUCCGGUUCACUUUAACACUGAGGCGUGACGACGAGGCACUACGGUGCUGAAGCAACAAAUGCCCUGCUUCCAGGAAAAGCCUCUAAGCAUCAGGUAACACGAAAUCGUACCCCAAACCGACACAGGUGGUCAGGUAGAGAAUACCAAGGCGCUUGAGAGAACUCGGGUGAAGGAACUAGGCAAAAUGGUGCCGUAACUUCGGGAGAAGGCACGCUGACACGUAGGUGAAGUGAUUUACUCAUGGAGCUGAAGUCAGUCGAAGAUACCAGCUGGCUGCAACUGUUUAUUAAAAACACAGCACUGUGCAAACACGAAAGUGGACGUAUACGGUGUGACGCCUGCCCGGUGCCGGAAGGUUAAUUGAUGGGGUCAGCGCAAGCGAAGCUCCUGAUCGAAGCCCCGGUAAACGGCGGCCGUAACUAUAACGGUCCUAAGGUAGCGAAAUUCCUUGUCGGGUAAGUUCCGACCUGCACGAAUGGCGUAAUGAUGGCCAGGCUGUCUCCACCCGAGACUCAGUGAAAUUGAACUCGCUGUGAAGAUGCAGUGUACCCGCGGCAAGACGGAAAGACCCCGUGAACCUUUACUAUAGCUUGACACUGAACAUUGAGCCUUGAUGUGUAGGAUAGGUGGGAGGCUUUGAAGUGUGGACGCCAGUCUGCAUGGAGCCGACCUUGAAAUACCACCCUUUAAUGUUU
rnacentral:rRNA from 2 species